rnacentral:rRNA from 1 species
GGAUAUUGGGCGUAAGGGCUCGCAGGCGGUUUCUUAAGUCUGAUGUGAAAGCCCCCGGCUCAACCGGGGAGGGUCAUUGGAAACUGGGAAACUUGAGUGCACAAGAGGAGAGUGGAAUUCCACGUGUAGCGGUGAAAUGCGUAGAGAUGUGGAGGAACACCAGUGGCGAAGGCGACUCUCUGGUCUGUAACUGACGCUGAGGAGCGAAAGCGUGGGGAGCGAACAGGAUUAGAUACCCUGGCAGUCCACGCCGUAAACGAUGAUUGCUAAGUGUUAGGGGCCUUCCGCCCCUUCUUGCUGCAGCUAACUCAUUACUCCCUCUGCCUGG